rnacentral:rRNA from 1 species
UACGUCCCUGCCCUUUGUACACACCGCCCGUCGCUACUACCGAUUGAAUGGCUCAGUGAGGCCUCCGGACUGGCUCGAAGAGGUUGGCAACGACUACUUCGAGCCGGAAAGUUCGUCAAACUCGGUCAUUUAGAGGAAGUAAAAGUCGUAACAAGGUUUCCGUAGGUGAACCUGCGGAAGGAUCAUUACCUAGAGUUGUAGGCUUUGCCUACCAUCUCUUACCCAUGUCUUUUGAGUACCUUCGUUUCCUCGGCGGGUCCGCCCGCCGAUUGGACAAACUUAAACCCUUUGUAAUUGAAAUCAGCGUCUGAAAAAACAUAAUAGUUACAACUUUCAACAACGGAUCUCUUGGUUCUGGCAUCGAUGAAGAACGCAGCGAAAUGCGAUAAGUAGUGUGAAUUGCAGAAUUCAGUGAAUCAUCGAAUCUUUGAACGCACAUUGCGCCCCUUGGUAUUCCAUGGGGCAUGCCUGUUCGAGCGUCAUUUGUACCUUCAAGCUCUGCUUGGUGUUGGGUGUUUGUCUCGCCUUUGCGUGUAGACUCGCCUUAAAACAAUUGGCAGCCGGCGUAUUGAUUUCGGAGCGCAGUACAUCUCGCGCUUUGCACUCAUAACGACGACGUCCAAAAAGUACUUUUUACACUCUUGACCUCGGAUCAGGUAGGGAUACCCGCUGAACUUAAGCAUAUCAAUAAGCGGAGGAAAAGAAACCAACAGGGAUUGCCCUAGUAACGGCGAGUGAAGCGGCAACAGCUCAAAUUUGAAAUCUGGCGUCUUUGGCGUCCGAGUUGUAAUUUGCAGAGGGCGCUUUGGCAUUGGCAGCGGUCCAAGUUCCUUGGAACAGGACGUCA